ACUAUGAACAAUAGUUCUCACCCCGGUGUUGUUUUUGAGGGUACAGGUUCACACGUAAGCCACGCGGCGGCGCGAGGCAAGGGCGUAGCUCCAUAGUUAGCGCCCAACCACAGAGACCAGAAAUAGCGGUACCCUAAGUCGGCUUAGCUUAGGGGUUUAGUGAUGGAAAGAAUAAGAUUGUAAUAAUUUGUAAUAAUUUGGAUUGUAUUUGGAAGACUAAAUGUAAGAUGCAUGUAAUAUGUAAAAUUUCAGAUGAAUGCUUGUAAUAAUAUAGUUGUAUUUAUGUUUUCGAUACUUCCUUAUGCAAUUCUUGUUUGAAUACUGUUCCUGGUUGGAACCUUGUGUAUUGCAUUGUUUGGAUUGUGACACCUUGGACAUACAGGGGAGACUCUGUCCGCGGUACAGAAAAAACCCUGUCCGUUCGGCGGUCAGUUGGUGUCUCCGAAACUGACCAAAUAGGCGGCACUACAACAAUAUUGAGCUAUGGAGACAAAAUAUUUAGCGACAAAGUAUAUAUUUGUCGUUAAAAGCAAUUAAAUAGCGACUAAAUUUAAUGUUCGUCGCAAAAAAAAAGGAGAGAUUUUGUAAAAUGUCAUUAGCGACAAUUUACCUUUAUUGCUAAAACAUAGUCGCUAUUAGUUUAAUGAGGUCACUUUUUUCUUCCCUAAAUUAAUUUUAGCGACAGACAUUAAUUAAUAGCGGCGAAACCUAACGUCACUAUAAGGUUGAAUAAUUAGCGACCAAAUAUGUGGUUGCUGAAAGUCAAUUUUUAGCAACACAUUAAUAUUUUGUCGCUAAAAUAUUAAAAAUUUAUUUUUAUUUUUGUUGCUAUAUAUUUAUGAAAUAAAAUUUAAAUUAUUUUAUUUGGUUAAAUUAAAUAUUU
rnacentral:lncRNA from 1 species